ACCCUGGCACCUCCCCACAGCCCCGCAUCGGACCCAAGGACAGUCCCAGGAGACGUGGGGGCGCUCACCCCUUUCGUGGACGGGAAACUGAGGCAGGCGGGUGAAGGUCGGCUCACAUGCGGAGCUCAGGCAUCACCCUAUGUUCCAGGUGAGCCACUGAGGCUCAGGGAGGACAGAGGUGAAGGAUCUUGCCCCAGUCACAGGAGGAAUCACAGGCAGAAAGGGGGAGAUGGAAAGAGGUAGGAGGGAGAGCAGGGAAGGAGAGGAGGGACUGGAGGGGGCAGAAGGAAGGGGAGGUGGCUGUCCCAGGAUGGAGUCAGGGGCCAUCCUCAAAGUCCAGCUUCAGCUUCUCCAGGUUUUUGCCCACAUCCUGGGACAGGGGGCUCCUCUCCCCCUGGACAUACUCAUCCGGUGGGCAGCUGUGCCUGCUAGGAAGGCCUUCUACCCACCUCCCAGACAUCCCACAGGGAAGCAACUUUCACUCCCAGACCGCUGGUGCUCCCCUGCCUCCCAGGCCUGGGGUGGGUGUGGGUGAGGACGCUGCAAGGUAGUGGUCAGGACACAAGCAUCAGCAUCGGACAUCCCUGGUUCAAGUCCUACUCAGAGUGGGAAGGACACAGACUUUGCAGUGAUUCCUUGUGUGUGACUCCCAGCUUCACCACUCCUGGUUGUGCAACCUCAGACAAAUGCCUUGACCUCCCCUGGCCUCAGCUUCCUUAUCUGUCAAGUGGGGUAUUCCUAGUCUCCCCAGGCCACUGAGGGGCAUGGUGGGAAUGGAUAAGAAUGUGGGUGUGAGCUGUAUGCAUGGGAGGGAUUGAUUAUGUUCCAGUAUGUGCCUGCUAGGAAGGCCUUCCACUCACCUCCCAGACAUCCCACAGGGAAGCAGCUCAUGUUCACUGAGCACUGACGGGAUGGCUGGUCCUACAUGAAGUCCCAGGAAAGACCUGUGCAUGAAGUCCCAGGGAAGACCCUGACCCGCUCCCUGUGCAGGCAGGGUAGACAGACACUUGAACAAAUAACCACAGUCCAAGACACAAAUGCAGAUCAUUUUCAGAUGCAUUUAAUUCUGAACAGCCCUGUGAGGAGGGCAGGACAAAGAUUAUUAUCCCAUUAGACAGAUGAAGAAGCUGAGGUCCAGAUAAAUCAAGUGAGUUGCUGAAGGUCACACAGCAAUGAGGGGCAGAGCUGGGUCUUGACCCUGGAGCCCUUUUCACUCUGGGGGUACCAGGCCUGCCAGAAAGGUUAUCACCAAAGGGUUCUGGAAGAGUGACCUCCUCAAACUUUCCCUGUCCUCAGACUGGCUUGUGGCCUGAGAGUCCGCUAUCAGCACAUCAUACCUUUGGCUAAAAAUGUGCUAAAAAUGUGCCAGCCCCUCCAGUGUCAAUCAAAUGGCCAUCAGUCAUUUACACUUGAGUGUGGAGAAGCCGAUCAGAUUUUAUGGGUUGGAGAUGAGAAGGAAUCUUGAGUGUUUGGACUUUUGGGUGGGAAACUGGAGAUAUGAGAGGAAAGUUUGACAGCAGAGAGAACUCAGGAGGUGGGUGGGGAGGGAGUCAUGGUUAACUGGAGGAUGGAGUGAGUCCGCAUGACCUAGACACCUCUGUGUACCUCACCUCCAUGAAGUAUAACCAAUGUCUGGCACUCGUGGAGCACUUAGGAUAUACCAGACACUGUGCUCUCUCCUUUUUUUUGAGAUGGAGUCUUGCUCUGUCACCCACGCUGGAGUGCAUUGGCAUGAUCUCAGCUCACUGCAACCUCCACCUCUCCGGUUCAAGCAAUUCUCCUGCCUCAGCCUCCCGAGUAGCUGGGACUACAGGUGCAUGCCCAGCUAAUUUUUUUUAAAAACAUAUUUUAGUAGAGACCGGGUUUCACCAUGUUGCCCAGGCUGGUCUCCAACUCCUGAGCUCAGGCAAUCAGCCCGCCUUGGCCUCCCAAAAUGCAGCCGCUCUCUCCUUUAAUCUUUUUGUUUGUUUGUUUUUAAGACAGUCUCACUCUGUCGCCCAGGCUGCAGUGCAGUGGCACAAUAUCAGCUCACUGCAACCUCCACUUCCCAGGUUCAAGCAGUUCUCCUGCCACAGCCUCCAGAGUAGCUGGGACUACAGGUGUACACCACCAUAUUCAGCUAAUUUUUUUGUAUUUUUAGUAGAGAUGGGGGGGGUCACCAUGUUGGCCAGGCUGGUCUUGAACUCCUGAGAUACCCCUGCCUCAGCCUCCCAAAGUGCUGGAAUUACAGGUCUGAGCCACCAUGCCCGGCCUCUCCUUUACUCUUCAUGGCAACUGUUAUCUUUCUUUUUACAGAUGAGAAAAGGGAGGCACAGAGAGGCUAAAUAAUUUGGCCAAGAUCACACAGAAGCAGAGGAGCAGAAGGGUGGACCCAGGCAGGCCAGCUCUGCAGCCCCUGCUCUUGGCCACCAUGGGCUCCUCCUCUGGGCUAACCCAGCCCUUGCCAGAAUCCUACAUGGAAAGUAUUAUCAUCCCAUUGAAUAGAAGAGGAAAUGGAGGCACAGAGGGGCCCCAGGAUGGCAGAAUUAGUAACUGGGGUUGGGGGGAGCUGGGAUUAGACCCAGGUCUGAAAGCCAGGCCUUCCCUCUACCCUUCCUAUUUGCCAAACACCCGGGCCCCAUCCUGCCCAAGGUCAGCAGCCCAGGUGGCAGGAUGUGCUUCUGCCUGGUGCUGGCCUUGGGGAGCACUUGUUUUUCCCCAGAGGAAGCAGCAGGUGUGGCCUUCUUUAUGGAAAUGAUCCUAACUGGGUUGGAGCCAGGAUUCCCCCCAACACACACCCAGGCCAGGAGGACUUCAAUAGGACUAGGUCAGAGCUUCUAGGCUUGGAUGGAGGGGCUGGAAUUUGGGAGAGGGGCUCGGAGGUCAGUCCCAUUUUGGUAAGCCUCUCACCCUCUGGACUCCAUAUCUCCUGCUAAUCGCACUCCUUGGAUGAGACAGUGACAUGGAAGUGCCUCCCAGCUCAGCCCUGGGGAGACCUCUCCAAGGUCACUGAAGGAAGCUGGGGGCAUGCCCCUACCCUUCUUUCUGGAGCAGAGCCCUGGGACCUUCUGGAGUCCCAGUCAGGCUGGGGUCUACAAGGGUUAAGACUCCAAGUGACUUCUCUGUCUGCCCCUCAUGCAGAUAAAAGUUUCCAUUCAAGGAAGAGCUGCCUUAGGGCUGCCAAGUUAUCCUGAUUCUGUCAUUGUAGCAUCAAGGUGGGGGCCUUGGGCCUUCCCAGCCUCUUCAAGGGGACAUUCUUGGGUGGGAUGUGGCUCCUAACUGGUGUCACCACCUCAAAGGCCAAUAUCCCAAGACCCAGAAUUCCCACGUUGGACUCAGGGACUGGCGAGAUCACACUGACUCCUUCUGCCAGGGCCCUUUAAGAGCCGCCCAUCCCGCCCAUGAUGCUCCUGCUUAGUGAGUCAGACACUUGCAUUAGGCCCCAGGGGAGGAAGAGAAACAGGCCUCAGAAAGCACUUGGAAGGGCAGGGAAGGGCUGGGAAGAAACCUGGCUCAGAAGAUGGUGCCCUCCCCUCACAUAUUCCCAGACUGGAAGGGGCAUCUUACUUCUGAGCUCCCCACAGCCCCAGCCUCCUGGCUGUCUCUCCUGGCUGCUGAAAUAAAGGCCAAGCCCUUUUAUCACCUUUGUUAUGUGACCCUGCCUGCUGGUUGGGCCUCAUCUCUCGCCCCUAGUUCUUUGCUUUCAGGGCCACACCAGCCCUCUUGACUGUUCUUGAAUCCAUCAUGAUUCUUUCUACCCCAGGGACCUUGCACUAGCCAGCAUCUUGCUGCGCUUCCUCCCGUCUCAAUUGGCUAAUGUGGGAGAGGCAUUUUCUUUACACACCCAGAGAAAAUAGAGCCUGCUACCUUCCAAGACUGAGAGGGUUGGAAGAAACUUUUUGUAUUGUAGCUUGAGGGUGGGAAGGAGAAGACACAAUUUGAGCAUAAGAAGGUGAGCUGGAAGCUGGGCACGGUGGCUUAUGCCUGCAAUCCCAGUGUUAGGAAUGCUUGUUCUCCACUGCUGCAAAGAAAUAGCACUCAAACAUAAAUUUAAUUUUCUCAGCAAGCAAUUUUUAGUUUCUGUAGAAAGGGUGCUCCUCAUAGAUGGAACAAUGGUGAGAGCACAGUUGAACAAGGGAGGGGAAGGGGUUCUUAUUCCUGACCCAGGUAAUCCCUGCUGCUAUGUUGUUCCCCUGUUGGCUAAGGUUGGACCGCACGGUCUAAGCUAAUUCCGAUUGGCUAUUUUAAAGAGAGCAGAGGUAUGAGCCAGAGUGGCGAGGUGAGUAGUUUGGCAGGAAGGACAGUUAGGAACGGGUAACUAAAGGUGACUUACAUCAGAGCAGGUGACCAGGGGUGACUCAGGUCAAAGCAGGUGACUGGGAUGAGUCAGGAUGGAGCAAGUGACCAGGGGAACAGGUGUGAACUACUGAAUAAAACUGAUGGAAAAGGUUGUUUACUGAAAUUAGAAGCAAGGGGGCGAAGAGAACCAGGAAGUUAAACUUUAAAAUGGAGAAUCAAAGAAUAAGAGAGCUGAACAUACAGACAUACUGAUUCUUUGAAGAAAAACUUGGGGUUCACCAUAUUUAACAUGAGCACUUUGGGGGGUUGAGGCAGGUGGAUCACUGCAGGUCAGGAGUUCGAGACCAGCCUGGCCAACAUGGUGAAACCCCGUCUCUACUAAAAAUACAAAAACUAGCUAGGUGUGGUGGCGGGUGCCUGUAAUCCUAAAUACUUGAGAGGCUGAGGCAGGAGAAUUGCUUGAACCUGGGAAGUGGAGGUUGCAGUGAGCUGGGAUUGUGCCACUGCAUGCCAGCCUGGGUCACAGAGAGACUCCGUCUCAAAAAAAAAAAAAAAAAAAAAGGUGAGCUGGAAAUAAGCUCAGGCUCGUGAGCAGUUUAUCUUCUGGAAUAAAGUCGUUUGCCUUUUUAAAGGCUCUGUCUUCCUCCAUUUCUACCAGAAACCAGACCUCUGAGGGCCCCUUCCCCUCCCACCAUCCUCAGGAUCUGAAGCCCUGGUCCUCCCUCACUUUCUGUCCAGCACUGGAACCCCAAGGGACAGAGAGUGUGUGACAGCUCCUGCAGGAAGCUGGUCAGACAAGGAGAGUGCUGGGUUAAAGGGGAUAAAUUUGGAAGGUAUCCAGGGACCUGAUCAGGGAGGAUCGUGAGUCCCAAGGAGAGAAGUUUGGAUUUCUUCCUCCAGUCAUCAUGAAGCUUGGAGGGUUUGGGGGCAGCUGCCUUGGAAGGGCUGAAAAGAGGUGGACGGCACUGGUGAGACAAUCCCUUCCCCCCCCCUCUACCCGCCAGCCACAGAAGAAGGACUCCGCAGCUCUUGGAUACAGCACUUUAAUGCCAGUGGGCCUUUAGGAUAGGGAGGAGUUGGGAGCCAAUCUCCAUCUCCGUACUCCUAACCCAACUUCCACCACGCUGGAGGAGACACCAGGGUUCCAGCUGUGAGCCUGGUGCUUGCCUUCUGCUACAAGCCCCAUCCCGACCUCCUUGGAGACUUCUAGCUCAAGCUCUGGAGGAAAUCCACCAGCAGGUGCUCAGGGAAGCCAAAGUCCAUCUGCAGCAGCAGGAAGCCCUGAAGGGAGGGGCAGUAGGAGAGAGGGGCGAGCUGGGCUGACUCCCAGGCCACCAGGAGGGAGCCAAGCUGGUAGAGGCCCCUCUGUCUGUCUCCCCAACAGCCCCCAGUCACCCCAGGAAUCCUGUCUGGGCCUCUCUCCCCAGGAACAGGGGCUGGUGAGGGGGGCUUUGUACUCACAUCUCGAGUGAUAAUCUCAGGGUUGAUGAUGUCGAAGAGGCUCACGCCUUUGCUGUUCAUGAGGGCUGUAAACACUACCUCGAGCCCUGGGGCAGGGGACAGAGCCCCAGUCAGCCCUUCUUGGGGAGCAAGGCCGGCCCGAGGCUCUGCCACCCUGGGUAGUGGGAGAUGCUGAGACCCUUUUGGACCAAUAUUCUGUAAACAUGCGUUUCACUUUGAUUUAGCAGAGUGAGCAAGUGCUUCUGAGGAUGAGGAAGAGCAGAGUUUGCCUGGCGGCAGGGCUUGCCACUCUGCUGCCAAAAAAAAUUCCCUUCUGCCCCAAACUUGAGCUCCCAACCCAUCCACAAUGGCCACAUGACCUGCAGUUAGCUGAGUCUACCCUGCUAGGAAGGAAACUUUCCCACACAGCUUCUCAAAGUGUUCUUUGCAACCACACAGAGUGGUCUCCUUGCAAGUAGUUGUAGGAACCAUUUAAUCCACAUCCCCUAGUUUUAGCUUCAUGGUUCAGAUGGGGAAAAUGAGGCCAAGAGAUGCCAAGACACCCCACUAGGAUCAUUCCAGUUUCCACGCCCUUCCUCUCCUACCUAAGCCAUGUGGACAAGCAGAUGUUCAAAAGGAAAGCACAGUCAGCUCAACAUACUCUGUGGGGAAGGGAGCAGAAAGCUCUCAGCAGAGCCUGGUCCAAAAUACCCCCAGCACACGUGUGCUAUGGUGUCUGAGAGUCUACCAUCCGAGUCACCUCAAAGGGAUAAAUAUUCUACCAUUUCAAGGUCAAAAGGAAAAUUGGGAAUCAUCAAGUUCAACAUUCUUGUUUCACAGAAAGGGAAACUGAGGUUCAGGGCUGGGCUAGAACUAGGUCUCAGACUCCCAGCCCAGGGGUCUUUCUGCUAUAUCAGGUUGCUAUUAGGAGACCUGCAUCCUGAAAGUGGGUUGAGCCAUCCCGCGGGGUGGCAAAGAUAAUAUUCUGCAGGUAAACCAAGAACAGGGGUCUGGGCAUCUGGCCGAGUCAUUGGCGUGCAAUACCACCAGCAGGGAGAGGAAAGGGGGCCAGGACCGCUAAGUAUCAAUGACUGGGAAGAGGGGCACCUGAAGCUCUGCCUGGGAAGGGCCCACAAGGUGAAAUGGGAAGCUCUGUCAGCCUCGGCACCCAGUUUCCCCUCCAGCCCACACUUACGAGACAUGACCUCAGGGAUGCCCACAGCGGUGAUCAUUGACUGCAGGAAGCUCUGGACGGACUCGGAGCUGCUCUGCCAAUCAAAUGCCCAUGGAGAUCUUGGGCAUCUUGAGGCAGUGGACGGUGACUUGGGCCUGGCUGGGGAAGCCGCCGACAACCUGUGGAAGACAGGGGUCCCAUGGCCAGGACAGGGGCCCAUCAGGGCAGCAGCAGUCCAUGCCCUCGGAGAUGGGAAGGACAAAGCUGGCUCCGGGCCCCAGGGCUGGGGAAAAGGAAGUAGCUCGGGGUAGUGCCCAGGCCCCAGGCUGUGCAAAUUAGGACUCUUGUCCUCUCUGGGCCUCAGUUUCUCAUCUGUGUGCUAGUGAAGCUAUUCCUACCCUGAACUCCUCUCUCAGGAUGUGCUGAGGAUGCCUUCACUUAGCCUUCUGGGCCUCACUUUCCUCAUCUGUAAAAUGGGGAUAAUCAUAGAUCCUACCUCAUAGGGUUGUCCUGAGGAUGGAAUGAGAUAAUCUGUGGAAAGAGCUUAGAACAGGACCUACUGCAUGGUAACCCUCCGAGGGAAGCUGCUGUAGCAGCUGGGCUAGGGGUGGGGAUAGAGCAGAGAGCGCAGGAGCUGCGGGCCAUAUCUGCAGGAGCCCAGCAUUUUCCAGGGCAUCCCAGAACAGAACGUAAAACUGCAGCUGAGGAGUAUUUAAAGGAGAGACACACCAGGCUGUGGCACGAGGGGACCUGACCUAGUCAGGGAGGUGGGAGAGGCCUUCCCUGAGGUGGCAGGAGGAGGAGCAGAUGGCAUGGGGGAGGGCAAACCAUUCUGGCAGAGGGGACAGUGUGGACAAGAGCCCUGUGGAAGGAACAUGGCCAAGAUAAGGAAUGCGCAGGCAGCCAGCGGGGCUGGGGAGUGUGGCCUGAGGACCUUCGAUUACAGCCUGUGGGACUGGGCUCAAGGAGAUCACAUGCCCCAAGAAACCACUGAACCGCUGGAUACACAAGAAAAGGUUUCAUUAAAUACAUAGCUCAGCUCAAAAGAAAGAAAGGGCCGGCGGGGUGCGGGAGCUCACACCUGUAAUCCCGGCACUUUGGGAGGCUGAGGCAGGAGGAUCAUUUGAGGUCAGGAGGUCAAGACCAGCCUGGCCAACAUGGUGAAACCCCGUCUCUACUAAAAAUACAAAAAAAUGAGCUGGGCACAGUGGUGCACCCCUGUAACCCCAGCCAAUCGGGAGGCUGAGGCACGAGAAUUGCUUGAACACAGGAGGCGUAGGUUGCAGUGAGCUGAGAUUGCGCCACUGCACUCCAGCCUGGGGAACAAGAGCGAGACUCUGUCUCAAAAAUAAAUAAAUUAAUUAAUUAAAUAAAAUAAAAUGAAAAUCUCAGUGGGUAAGUAAACAAAUAAGACACAGCUGUAAAAAGAAUUAAUGAACUAAAAAGAUACUUGAAGAAACUAUCCAGAAUUUAGGAUAGAGAUAAAAGAGAUGGAAAACACGACAGAGCAACUAAGAGACACGGAAAAUGGAAUGAGAUGGCCCAACGUGUGUCUCAUGGAAAUUCCAGGAGGUAGGCAUGGAGAAAAUAGGGAUGGGGCAAUCAUGGAAGAGAGAGUGAUGAAGAAAUUUCCAGAGCUGAUGGGCUGGGUGCUGUGGCUCACACCUGUAAUUUCAGCACUGAGGCAGGAGAAUUGCUUGAACCCGGAAGGUGGAGGUUGCAGUGAGUUGAGAUUGUGCUACUGCACUCCAGCCUGGGCCACAGAGCAAGACUCUGUCUUAAAAAAAAAAAAAAGAAAGAAAAGAAAAGAAAUUUCUAGAGCUGACAAAAGACCUCGUCAACUUUCAACUAAACAGUUACAAUUACGCUGGGUGGGAAACAACUAGAUGAAGAAGUAGACAGGAUGAGAAAAUGCAGGGCCCUGGAGGCCAUGGGAGAGCGUUUAGCCUGUAUCCUACACCGGCUUUAAGCAGGCAGGUGAAUGACCAGUUUUAUUUCUUGAAAAGAUUGUUCUGGCUGCUGUGGGGAACAGAUUAUUGGAGGGUAUCAGGACACAGGGAGACCCACCGGGAGCUACAGAUGGGUCCCCACUAGAGAUAAUGGUAGCCUGGGGAGGAGGUAGAGACAGAGAGAAAUGGAAAGACUAGAAAUAGGACAUCAAAGGAACAGGACUCAGACAAGGGGCUAAGGGAGAAGAGCCGGUCAGGGGCCUGCCCAAUAUUGUGAGUUGUGUAUGUGCAAGGAGAGAGGCAUCACAGAGCCGGGGAAGGCUGGACGGCCUGAGUUCAGAAGGGAAGAGGGACCGUCCUCUGUUAGAACAGGAGAACGGCCGCAGGAAGGCGCAGGUGUGGGUGAGUGGGUUGCGACUGGGAGCAGCGACGUGGGGGGGAAGUUCUGUUGGUGGCUCUGCUCAGCUCUCUGGUAAGCAGGUUGUGUGUGGAGAGGGAAGUGGAAGGUAGACAGGAGGGGGCAGCUGGAGAUUUGAGGAUGGCAGGGAAGGCCUGAAGAAGUCAUUGCAGUGGGUGGGGGGAGUGAGGUGACCAGAAAGCUGAGGGAGGCUUACUCAGAAAGCAUGAGGUCCAUUUGAGGUAGGAGAUCAUGGGUUCUUAGUGGAACCCUGCACUGAGGAGUGGGAUUAUGAACAUCAUUGCCACUGGGCAUAGCAAGAAGGGGCUGCGACCUCCAAGGAGCUUGCCUGAAGUCAGCUUUGGGAUCAGGAGUAAUCAACAGUCACUUAUUGCUGGGGCCCUCUGAGCCCAGAGUUGAUCCUGGGGUUCCAGCCCCCUACAAGUCCCUAUGCCUGGGAAAUGGAGCAGGGAAUGGAGCCUUAUCUUUGGGGGCAAUAGAGCUGGGCUCAAACCCAGCCUUGCCAUUCACUAAGUUUCCCUGUGUGUAAAAUGGGGACAGUUUGACCGCCCCACUCAUAGGGUCGGUGUGAGCACUGAAGGAAGUCACACACACUAAGUGCUUCACUCCAUGCCGAACAACCGAGUAGGAGCUGUGUUCGCUGUUAUAAUUGUUGCCAUUGGUGGUGUUAUUGGCUGUGUGGGGGCUCUUGAAGCCAGAGCAGGAUUGGGGUACGUGAGAUAAACCCCACACAGGGGCAGGGGGCAGUUACCUCUUGGAAGAUUUCCUGGUUGGUGUUGAAGCCCCAGGUCUCCAGCACUGCCUGAAAAGAAAUGAGGAAGUUGGAGGGUGGGUGGAGUAAAGUCCACUCCUCAGAAGAAAACUUCGCAGGGACCAAGGGCAGUUUCAAGGACUGGACCCCUCCUCAGACGCAACUCCCAACCUCCCAGACAACAUGUGAGAUGCUCUGGGCAGGGUGUGGAACAGGGAACCCCUGUCCCGGCUGGAGGCCUGGCUUCUGCUCCCCACUGUGCCCCACACAUGCUGUGUGACCUCGCACAAGUCUCUUCCCCUCUGUGGGCCUCAGUUUCCUCAUGAGUUCAAUGACAAGCACAGCCUGGAAACUACCUAAGCAUUUCUAGUACAGUAUAGGUGAAGAGUACAGGCUUUGGGGCCACCUCUUACAGGCUGUGUGAUCUUCAGUAAGUCACCUACCUUCUCUGAGCUUUGUGGUUUUUUUGUUUGCAAAACAGAGGUAACAGUACUUAUUUCACAGGAUGAGUGCAACAAAACAAAGUGUAGCAAAUAUAACUGCAAUAAAUGUAAGUCUAAUAUCAACUUAUAUUUAAUGCACAGUUACUACGUGCCAAGUUAUAUCUAUACCUAAAUCUAUUGAUCACUCUGUCUAUCUAUCCAUCUAUCUAUCUGGCAACACAUAGUUGACUCCAAUAAAUGCUGGACUGUAUUUUUUUCUUGAGAUGGAGUCCUACUCUGUCACCCACACUGGAGUGCAGUGGUGCCAUCAUAGCUCACUGCAGCCUCAACCUCUUGGGCUCAAGUGAUCCUCCCUCCUCAGCCACCUGAGUAGUUGGGACUAUAGGUAUGCACCGCCGUGCACAGCUGAUUUUUAAACUUAUUUUUAUUUUUGUAGAGACAGGGGUCUCCCCAUGUUGCCCAGGCUGGUCUUGAACUCCUGGCCUCCAGGGACCCUCCUGUCUCUGAGAGAAGAGAGACAGACCCUCUCAUAUUGUUUUAUAUUGUUUUAUACUCAGAAAAAGAAAGAGAAGCGAAACUAAAGGCAGGUAGCCCAACGCCUAGAGACCAGACCCGAAACCAAGGAACCAGACCCGAAACCAGGCCUGGGCCUACCUGACCUAAGCCUGGUAGUUAAAGAUGGACCCCUGACCUAACCAGUUAUGUUAUCUAUAGAUUCCAGACAUUGCAUGAAAGAGCAUUGUAAAAAUCCCUGUCCUGUUCUGUUUCGUUCUGAUUACCGGUGCAUGCAGCCCCCAGUCACGUACCUGCUACUUGCUCAAUAGAUCACGACCCUCUCAUGCAGACCCCCUUAGAGUUGUGAGCCCUUAAAAGGGACAGGAAUUGCUCACUCGGAGAGCUCCGCUCUUGAGACAGGAGUCUUACCCAUGCUCCCGGCUGAAUAAAC
rnacentral:lncRNA from 1 species